CAGCAGCCGCGGUAGUACGAAGGGUGCAAGCGUUAAUCGGAAUUACUGGGCGUAAAGCGUGCGUAGGCGGUGAGUUAAGUCUGCUGUGAAAUCCCCGGGCUCAACCUGGGAAUGGCAGUGAAUACUGGCUCGCUAGAGUGUGUCAGAGGAUGGUGGAAUUCCCGGUGUAGCGGUGAAAUGCGUAGAGAUCGGGAGGAACAUCAGUGGCGAAGGCGGCCAUCUGGGACAACACUGACGCUGAGGCACGAAAGCGUGGGGAGCAAACAGGAUUAGAUACCCGCGUAGUCCCUGUCUCUUAUAC
rnacentral:rRNA from 1 species